rnacentral:misc_RNA from 1 species
GAUGAAGAACGCAGCGAAAUGCGAUAAGUAGUGUGAAUUGCAGAAUUCAGUGAAUCAUCGAAUCUUUGAACGCACAUUGCGCCCUUUGGUAUUCCUUAGGGCAUGCCUGUUCGAGCGUCAUUUAAACCUUCAAGCUAAGCUUGGUGUUGGGUGACUGUCCGCUUCACGGCGGACUCGCCUCAAAAUUAUUGGCGGCCGGUACAUUGGCUUCGAGCGCAGCAGAAACGCGAACUCGGGCCCGUCGUAUUGGCUCCCAGAAGCUAUCUUCACAAUUUUGACCUCGGAUCAGGUAGGGAUAACCGCUGAACUUAAGCAUAUCAAUAAGCGGAGGA